UUGGAGGGCAAGUCUGGUGCCAGCAGCCGCGGUAAUUCCAGCUCCAAUAGCGUAUAUUAAAGUUGUUGCAGUUAAAAAGCUCGUAGUUGAAUUUCGGGAUCAAUAUUUCGGUCAUGCCGUUGGUAUGCACUGUUAUCAUUGAUUUCUCACCUUCUAAAGAACCGUAAUGCCAUUAAUUUGGUGUUACGGGGAAUUAGGACUGUACCUUCGUAAAAUAAAGUAGU
rnacentral:rRNA from 1 species